rnacentral:rRNA from 1 species
CCCGCUGAACUUAAGCAUAUCAAUAAGCGGAGGAAAAGAAACUAACAAGGAUUCCCCUAGUAACGGCGAGUGAAGCGGGAUGAGCUCAAAUUUAAAAUCUGGUAGCCUUUGGUUGCCCGAGUUGUAAUCUAGAGAAGCGUUUUCCGUGCUGGACUGUGUACAAGUUUCCUGGAUACGGAACAUCAUAGAGGGUGAGAAUCCCGUCCUUGACACAGACUCCCAGUGCUUUGUGAUGCGCUCUCAACGAGUCGAGUUGUUUGGGAUUGCAGCUCAAAAUGGGAGGUAAAUUCCUUCUAAAGCUAAAUAUUGGCGAGAGACCGAUAGCGAACAAGUACCGUGAGGGAAAGAUGAAAAGCACUUUGGAAAGAGAGUGAAACAGUACGUGAAAUUGUUGAAAGGGAAACGCUUGAAGUCAGUCGCGUCGCCCGAGACUCAGCCUCGCCUCGGCUUGGUGUACUUCUCGGCCGACGGGUCAGCAUCAAUUUUGCCCCUUGGAUAAUGGCGAGGGAAAUGUGACACCUUUACGGGUGUGUUAUAGUCUCUCGUCGCAUGCAAGGGUCGGGAUUGAGGAACUCAGCACGCGCCUUUGGGCGUCGGGGUUCGCCCACGAUACGUGCUUAGGAUGUUGGCGUAAUGGCUUUAAACGACCCGUCUUGAAACACGG